CUCAGGAUGAACGCUGGCGGCGUGCCUAAUACAUGCAAGUCGAACGAGGUGCUUUUGUAGCAAUACGGAAGUAUCCUAGUGCGAAACGGGUGAGUAACGCGUUGGUGACCUACCCCAAAGGUGUGAGAUAACAGUCCGAAAGGACUGCUAAUACCGCAUGUGGUCUUCGGGCUUACAAACCGAUAACUAAAGGAGCAAUUCGCUUUGGGAGGGACCUGCGUCCCAUCAGCUAGUUGGUAGGGUAACGGCCUACCAAGGCUUCGACGGGUAGGGGACCUGAGAGGGUGGCCCCCCACAAUGGAACUGAAACACGGUCCAUACACCUACGGGUGGCAGCAGUAGGGAAUAUUGCACAAUGGGCGAAAGCCUGAUGCAGCAACGCCGCGUGUGCGACGAAGGCCUUCGGGUCGUAAAGCACUUUUCUGAGAGAUGAGAAAGGACAGUAUCUCAGGAAUAAGUCUCGGCUAACUACGUGCCAGCAGCCGCGGUAAAACGUAGGAGGCGAGCGUUAUCCGGAUUCACUGGGUGUAAAGCGCGUGCAGGCGGUUCGGUAAGUUGGGCGUGAAAUCUCCUGGCUCAACUAGGAGAGGUCGUUCAAUACUACCGGGCUAGAGAGCGGUAGAGGAAGAUGGAAUUCCCGGUGUAGUGGUGAAAUGCGUAGAUAUCGGGAGGAACACCAGUGGCGAAGGCGAUCUUCUGGACCGUUUCUGACGCUCAGACGCGACAGCUAGGGUAGCAAACGGGAUUAGAGACCCCGGUAGUCCUAGCCGUAAACGAUGUGAACUUGGUGUCGGUGGGUUAAACUCCAUCGGUGCCGCAGCCAACGCGAUAAGUUCACCACCUGGGGACUACGGC
rnacentral:rRNA from 1 species